rnacentral:rRNA from 1 species
AGCGUAGACGGUGUGGCAAUCUGAUGUGAAAGGCAUGGGCUCAACCUGUGGACUGCAUUGGAAACUGUCAUACUUGAGUGCCGGAGGGGUAAGCGGAAUUCCUAGUGUAGCGGUGAAAUGCGUAGAUAUUAGGAGGAACACCAGUGGCGAAGGCGGCUUACUGGACGGUAACUGACGUUGAGGCUCGAAAGCGUGGGAGCAAACA